CAUCUGGGCUGCCUUUAGGAUUCAGCUCCAUGGCAGAAGAAGACAUUGAGACCAAAAUCAAGAACUACAAGACUGCCCCUUUUGACAGCCGCUUCCCCAACCAGAACCAGACCAGGAACUGCUGGCAGAACUACCUGGACUUCCACCGCUGUCAGAAGGCAAUGAUGGCUAAAGGAGGCGACAUCUCUGUGUGUGAAUGGUACCAGUGUGUGUACCAGUUCCUCUGCCCCACAUCCUGGGUCAUAGACUGGGAUGACCAACAGGCUGAAGGCACGUUUCCCGGAAAGAUCUGAACUGGCUGUACCUCCCUCUCCUCUGUUCUCCGUCCUUCUACCAGGAUGGUGAAGGGGGACCUAGUACCCAGUGACCCCCACCCCGGGAUCCUAAAUCAUGACUUACCUGCUAAUAAAAACUCACUGGAAAAGUGAAAAAAAAAAAAAAAAA